rnacentral:rRNA from 1 species
GACGAACGCUGGCGGCGUGCUUAACACAUGCAAGUCGAACGGAAAGGCCCUGCUUGCAGGGUACUCGAGUGGCGAACGGGUGAGUAACACGUGGGUGAUCUGCCCUGCACUUCGGGAUAAGCCUGGGAAACUGGGUCUAAUACCGGAUAGGAGCCAUUUUUAGUGUGAUGGUUGGAAAGUUUUUUCGGUGUAGGAUGAGCUCGCGGCCUAUCAGCUUGUUGGUGGGGUAAUGGCCUACCAAGGCGGCGACGGGUAGCCGGCCUGAGAGGGUGGACGGCGACAUUGGGACUGAGAUACGGCCCAGACUCCUACGGGAGGCAGCAGUGGGGAAUAUUGCACAAUGGGCGCAAGCCUGAUGCAGCGACGCCGCGUGGGGGAUGACGGCCUUCGGGUUGUAAACUCCUUUCGCUAGGGACGAAGCUUUUUGUGACGGUACCUAGAUAAGAAGCACCGGCUAACUACGUG